UAUAUUUCCAAAAUCUUUUUUUUUUAAAGUCGAUUCUAUUGUUACAAGCUUCAUCUGGGAUAAUAAGAAUCAUAGAAUAAGCAAAAAACAUUUAUGCAAAUCAAAGACAAGUGGAGGUUUAGCCUUACCAAAUUUUCUGUUUAUAUUUUGGGCAGUCCAAAUUAAAAACAUGAAUUUCUGGCUGGAAGAAAUGGA